GGUCGAUGAUGAGCUGGCAUGUAUUCUGAAUCUGAAGUUGAUUAGUACUACUUUAGCUCUAGAAUUACUCUGAGACCUG
ensembl:snoRNA SNORD45C small nucleolar RNA, C/D box 45C